CCUACGGGUGGCAGCAGUGGGGAAUAUUGGACAAUGGGCGAAAGCCUGAUCCAGCCAUGCCGCGUGUGUGAUGAAGGCCUUCGGGUUGUAAAGCACUUUCAGUGGGGAAGAAAGCCUUGGGGCUAAUACCCUCGAGGAAGGACAUCACCCACAGAAGAAGCACCGGCUAACUCCGUGCCAGCAGCCGCGGUAAUACGGAGGGUGCGAGCGUUAAUCGGAAUUACUGGGCGUAAAGCGCGCGUAGGCGGUCUGAUAAGCCGGUUGUGAAAGCCCCGGGCUCAACCUGGGAACGGCAUCCGGAACUGUCAGGCUAGAGUGCAGGAGAGGAAGGUAGAAUUCCCGGUGUAGCGGUGAAAUGCGUAGAGAUCGGGAGGAAUACCAGUGGCGAAGGCGGCCUUCUGGACUGACACUGACGCUGAGGUGCGAAAGCGUGGGUAGCAAACAGGAUUAGAUACCCCGGUAGUC
rnacentral:rRNA from 1 species